AAUACUUACAUUAAACUCUUAGAAAAUUUUGGAACAAUUUUAAAAUUAAGUUAAAAUGAUUUUAACCUAGUUAAAUUAUUACAAAAAAUAUCGAUAUCCUUUUAGUUGGUAUCGAUACUCACAAUUGUUGGUGAAAUAAAUGCUCUGGUUUUACAUCCCCAACGGCCAUAUUCAUUACACCAAUAAUCUCAACGGUUGGAAAUCUAUUAGGGGUAUAAAUACCAUCUUCCAAAUACCUACAACAACAAGAAAAAC
rnacentral:lncRNA from 1 species